rnacentral:misc_RNA from 1 species
AGCAGCCGCGGUAAUUCCAGCUCCAAUAGCGUAUAUUAAAGUUGUUGCAGUUAAAAAGCUCGUAGUUGAAUUUCGGGAUCGAUACGUCGGUCGUGCCUUCGGUACGUACUGUCGUCAUCGAUUUCUCCCUUCUGACGAACCAUGAUGUCAUUAAUUUGGUGUUAUGGGAAA